rnacentral:rRNA from 1 species
CCGGGGGGGCCCUAACACAGGGCCAAGUCGAAGCGGGGGGGCACAGAGAGCUUGCUCUCGGGUGACGAGCGGCGGACGGGUGAGUAAUGUCUGGGAAACUGCCUGAUGGAGGGGGAUAACUACUGGAAACGGUAGCUAAUACCGCAUAAUGUCGCAAGACCAAAGUGGGGGACCUUCGGGCCUCAUGCCAUCAGAUGUGCCCAGAUGGGAUUAGCUAGUAGGUGGGGUAACGGCUCACCUAGGCGACGAUCCCUAGCUGGUCUGAGAGGAUGACCAGCCACACUGGAACUGAGACACGGUCCAGACUCCUACGGGAGGCAGCAGUGGGGAAUAUUGCACAAUGGGCGCAAGCCUGAUGCAGCCAUGCCGCGUGUGUGAAGAAGGCCUUCGGGUUGUAAAGCACUUUCAGCGGGGAGGAAGGCGUUAAGGUUAAUAACCUUGGCGAUUGACGUUACCCGCAGAAGAAGCACCGGCUAACUCCGUGCCAGCAGCCGCGGUAAUACGGAGGGUGCAAGCGUUAAUCGGAAUUACUGGGCGUAAAGCGCACGCAGGCGGUCUGUCAAGUCGGAUGUGAAAUCCCCGGGCUCAACCUGGGAACUGCAUUCGAAACUGGCAGGCUAGAGUCUUGUAGAGGGGGGUAGAAUUCCAGGUGUAGCCGGUGAAAUGCGGUAGAGAUCUGGAGGGGAGAC